rnacentral:rRNA from 1 species
AGUGAACGCUGGCGGCAGGCCUAACACAUGCAAGUCGAGCGGAUGAAGGGAGCUUGCUCCUGGAUUCAGCGGCGGACGGGUGAGUAAUGCCUAGGAAUCUGCCUGGUAGUGGGGGAUAACGUCCUGAAACGGGCGCUAAUACCGCAUACGUCCUGAGGGAGAAAGUGGGGGAUCUUCGGACCUCACGCUAUCAGAUGAGCCUAGGUCGGAUUAGCUAGUUGGUGGGGUAAAGGCCUACCAAGGCGACGAUCCGUAACUGGUCUGAGAGGAUGAUCAGUCACACUGGAACUGAGACACGGUCCAGACUCCUACGGGAGGCAGCAGUGGGGAAUAUUGGACAAUGGGCGAAAGCCUGAUCCAGCCAUGCCGCGUGUGUGAAGAAGGUCUUCGGAUUGUAAAGCCCUUUAAGUUGGGAGGAAGGGCAGUAAGUUAAUACCUCGCUGUUUUGACGUUACCCAAAGAAUAAGCACCGGCUAACUUCGUG